rnacentral:rRNA from 1 species
UACGAAGGGGGCUAGCGUUGCUCGGAAUCACUGGGCGUAAAGGGUGCGUAGGCGGGUCUUUAAGUCAGGGGUGAAAUCCUGGAGCUCAACUCCAGAACUGCCUUUGAUACUGAAGAUCUUGAGUGCGGGAGAGGUGAGUGGAACUGCGAGUGUAGAGGUGAAAUUCGUAGAUAUUCGCAAGAACACCAGUGGCGAAGGCGGCUCACUGGCCCGGUACUGACGCUGAGGUGCGAAAGCGUGGGGAGCAAACAGGGAUUAGAAACCCU